UUCCCCUAGUAACUGCGAGUGAAGCGGGAAAAGCUCAAAUUUGAAAUCUGGCAGUCUAUUUUUUCUUCUUUGGCUGUCCGAAUUGUAAUCUAGAGAAGUGCUUACCUGCACUGGACCAUGUAUAAGUCUCCUGGAAUGGAGCGUCGCAGAGGGUGAGAAUCCCGUCUUUGACAUGGACUGCCAGUGUGUUGUGGUGUGCUCUCAAAGAGUCGAGUUGUUUGGGAAUGCAGCUCUAAAUGGGUGGUAAACUCCAUCUAAAGCUAAAUAUUGGCGAGAGACCGAUAGCGAACAAGUACCGUGAGGGAAAGAUGAAAAGGACUUUGGAAAGAGAGUUAAACAGUAUGUGAAAUUGUUGAAAGGGAAACGCUUGAAGUCAGUUGUGUCGGCUAGGGAUCAACCUAGCUGUUUUUUGCUGGGUGAAUUUCCUAGUCUGACAGGCCAACAUCAGUCUUGACUGCUGGAAAAGAGCAGGGGGAAUGUGGCACCUUUGGGUGUGUUAUAGCCUUUUGUCAUAUGUGGCAGUUGGGACUGAGGGAUGCAGCGUGCCGCGAGGCUGGGUUUCGACCACGUUCACGCUUAGGAUGUUGGCUUAAUGGCUUCAAUCGACCCGUCUUGAAACACGGACCAAGGAGUCUAACAUGCCUGCGAGUGUUUGGGUGGAAAACCCUUGCGCGCAAUGAAAGUGAAAGUUGAGAUCCCUGUCAUGGGGAGCAUCGACGCCCGGACUUGAGCUUUUAGCGACGGAUCCGCGGUAGAGCAUGCAUGUUGGGACCCGAAAGAUGGUGAACUAUGCCUGAAUAGGGCAAAGCCAGAGGAAACUCUGGUGGAGGCUCGUAGCGAUUCUGACGUGCAAAUCGAUCGUCAAAUUUGGGUAUAGGGGCGAAAGACU
rnacentral:rRNA from 1 species